rnacentral:lncRNA from 1 species
GGGAUCUCACAAUCCCCUGUUGGCUAGCCGACCGGUGGUGCAACCGACGUGGGACGGCCAUCGGCAAGAGGGGGGCAACCCAACAACGAGAGGAGGGCCAAACAGGUGGUCGGCGCCAACCACCGAUGUCGGAAAUCAAAGAAAAACAAGCAAAAAUAGAGGUUCUUCCCGCAACAAAAUCCGGCGACUCCGGUCGUCGGUGAGCGUGCACACAGGCAUGGAAAGGAAAGGGAAGAAGAGAGGAAGGGGAGGAGGCUUACCUCCGACGUCGGUGAGGCUUUUCCGGUGAG